UACGGAGGGUGCAAGCGUUGUUCGGAAUCAUUGGGCGUAAAGCGCGUGUAGGCGGCUUGGUAAGUCGGGUGUGAAAUCCCGGGGCCCAACCCCGGAACUGCAUUCGAAACUGCCUCGCUAGAGUCCCGGAGAGGUAGGCGGAAUUGACGGUGUAGCGGUGAAAUGCUUAGAUAUCGUCAAGAACACCUAUAGCGAAGGCAGCUUACUAGGCUGUAACUGACGCUGAGGCACGAAAGUGUGGGGAUCAAACAGG
rnacentral:rRNA from 1 species